CCCUUAGAUGUUCUGGGCCGCACGCGCGCUACACUGACGCAUUCAACGAGUCUAAAACCUGGUCUGAUAGGGCUGGGUAAUCUUUUGAAUGUGCGCCGUGAUUGGGAUAAAUGAUUGUAAUUCUUCAUUUUCAACGAGGAAUGCCUAGUAAACGCAAGUCAUCAGCUUGCAUUGAUUACGUCCCUGCCCUUUGUACACACCGCCCGUCGCUCCUACCGAUUGAAUGAUCCGAUGAAUAUCAUGGACUGAGAGUGUUAGAGUUUUCGGACUUCUACACUUCUCGGGAAGUGAAGUGAAUCUUAUCAUUUAGAGGAAGGAGAAGUCGUAACA
rnacentral:rRNA from 1 species